CAGAUCACACUCAAAUCAUUAUAUACCAUUACAUAAAAUCACCUAACAUUAUCAUGCCUUGUCAUACUAUUUGUGACAUUCAUUUUCUACUCAAAUCUUUGCAUCAAAACAUCAUAUCCAUAUCAUCAUUGUAAUGGCCCAAAUUUUCCCGGCCCGAUACAAAUAUUAUAACCCAAAUAAAUAAAUAAAAUAAACCAAAUAAAUGUCCAGUUUAUUACAACCAAGCCCAAACCCGAUUACAAAACCCAAAAUUCCCAAGCCUAAACUGUUAACUCAAUACUUAACCCUCCAGGCCCAAAUCACUCAGCCCAAAUUAGCCUAACAUGGGGAAAUCAGAAACCCUAGGCAGCAGUUACCGUGCCGUAAUAGAGCACGAGCCCCCUUUCGUGUGUGUGCGCGAGCCUCCGUACGAGCACGCCCCUCCCACACAUAGCCCCCGUACAUGCUGGCCCUCGUACGACCAUGUACCUGCAAAGGACCAACAAACGAGCAAAAACAGAAGGCAAUAAUGGCAAAAAGAGAAUAGCAGAGAAAAAAUAGCAGAUUUUUUUAGAAAAAAAUUCUUGUAAAUCUUGAUUUUAUUUCCGGCUAUAUAAAAGCCGUUUUGGGAAUUUGUAAAGGAUCCCCCCUUUUUACACAUCCAAUAUAUACAAAGAUCAAAAAAGAACCAAAAAAGCUUGGAGGUAAAUCAGAAAGUUUGUCUUUUUUUUCUUUUCAUUUUCUUUUUGAAUCGCCUCUUUGUAUAUAUAAGAAAAGCAAAUAAAAGGAAAAGAGGAGUCAGAACGCACUUGGGACCAGCCUUGUGCUCUCUUCGUCGCAAAUCGGAGUCGAGCAUAGGAUUCGGAAAGCCCUGUUCUGAGGCGAUGAGCGGCGCUGAGAGGGGAGCGUUCGGAUUUUUUUAGUUUUUUUAGUUCCGUUUUGCAAAAUGAAAGGAUGUCUGCUUAGAUUAGGGUUUGUUCCAGUUUUAUGUAGCUAGAAACGGCGUCGUUUGAGGCUGAGUUCCAGUGGCCUCAAAACGGCACCGUAUAAGGCCAGACCCACGUGCUCGACCUGACCCGCCUAGGAUCCGCGCGAUUUUGGACCGAAGGGGUUAUUUGCGCCCUCAGUCCUUCCGCGUUUGAGGCCGUUUACAAUUGGGUCCUAUCCCCUUUUGUCUUUUGUUUUAAUUUUACCCCAGGCAUCCUUUUUUUUUUGCGAUUUGAUCCAUAGACCUUCUGCACUGACCAUGCUAGAACGAUGUCUUGUGCCGAAUGAAAAGGGUUAUUUUUGCGGUUAGUCCCUCCGCUUUUGAUUCAGUUCUUAAUGGCGUCCUUUUUAGUUUUAAAUUUUCCCGUGUAAUUUUGUUAACGUUUCAUUUUAGUCUCGUUUAAAGCGGUGCGUGUAAGGGUCAGGGAUUAAUUUCCCGAUUAGCCCCCGCAUCUUGGCUUGUGUUCCAACCAACUCCUUUUUUAUAUUUCAAAUCCAACCCACUAAUUUUAUUUAAACUCCAAUACGGUCCUUAAUCAAUUUAAGUUCAAUUUUUUUUUAAAAAUGGUUACUAAUUUUAUUUGAUAUUCGUUUAAUUAUUUGUUUUAAAUUUCCAAUUAAGCUUAUAGGUAUUUUAUUUAUUUAUUAUUCAUUUGCUUUAUGUUUAUUGGUUGACGCGUAUUAUUUGUGCUUUAUUCUCGCUAUCUAUUUAUUUAAUAAUGUCAAAUGCUUCCAAAUUUAGAUCUAUUCUGGGCAUUGUCGUUGUUAAGUUCGUAGUAUUAUACAUGUCAUUGUAUUAUUAUUAUUCAUGCACAUUGAUACUAGAACUUUUAAAUAUUAAAACAUUUGUAUUGUACGAUGUAUGUUAGGCCUUUGUUUUAAAUGCAUGUUGUAUUAUUA
rnacentral:lncRNA from 1 species